GGAGCGUUCUGUAAGCCUGCGAAGGUGUGCUGUGAGGCAUGCUGGAGGUAUCAGAAGUGCGAAUGCUGACAUAAGUAACGAUAAAGCGGGUGAAAAGCCCGCUCGCCGGAAGACCAAGGGUUCCUGUCCAACGUUAAUCGGGGCAGGGUGAGUCGACCCCUAAGGCGAGGCCGAAAGGCGUAGUCGAUGGGAAACAGGUUAAUAUUCCUGUACUUGGUGUUACUGCGAAGGGGGGACGGAGAAGGCUAUGUUGGCCGGGCGACGGUUGUCCCGGUUUAAGCGUGUAGGCUGGUUUUCCAGGCAAAUCCGGAAAAUCAAGGCUGAGGCGUGAUGACGAGGCACUACGGUGCUGAAGCAACAAAUGCCCUGCUUCCAGGAAAAGCCUCUAAGCAUCAGGUAACAUCAAAUCGUACCCCAAACCGACACAGGUGGUCAGGUAGAGAAUACCAAGGCGCUUGAGAGAACUCGGGUGAAGGAACUAGGCAAAAUGGUGCCGUAACUUCGGGAGAAGGCACGCUGAUAUGUAGGUGAAGUCCCUUGCGGAUGGAGCUGAAAUCAGUCGAAGAUACCAGCUGGCUGCAACUGUUUAUU
rnacentral:rRNA from 1 species